rnacentral:rRNA from 1 species
UACGGAGGAUCCGAGCGUUAUCCGGAUUUAUUGGGGUUUAAAGGGUGCGCAGGCGGGAGAUUAAGUCGGCGGUGAAAUUUUGCAGCUCAACUGUAAAAGUGCCUUCGAUACUGGCUUCCUUGAGUGUGGAUGAAGUAGGCGGAAUUUGUGGUGUAGCGGUGAAAUGCUUAGAUAUCACGAGGAACUCCGAUUGCGCAGGCAGCUUACUAAACCACUACUGACGCUCAUGCACGAAGGCGUGGGGAUCAAACAGGAUUAGAUACCCCCGUAGU